GAUGAAGAACGUAGCGAAAUGCGAUAAGUAAUGUGAAUUGCAGAAUUCAGUGAAUCAUCGAAUCUUUGAACGCACAUUGCGCCCUCUGGUAUUCCGGGGGGCAUGCCUGUUCGAGCGUCAUUAUAACCACUCAAGCUCUCGCUUGGUAUUGGGGUUCGCGAUUUCGCGGCCCCUAAAAUCAGUGGCGGUGCCUGUCGGCUCUACGCGUAGUAAUACUUCUCGCGAUUGAGUCCGAUAGGUCUACUUGCCAGUAACCCCCAAUUUUUACAGGUUGACCUCGGAUCAGGUAGGGAUACCCGCUGAACUUAAGCAUAUCAAUAAGCGGAGGA
rnacentral:misc_RNA from 1 species